AAAUCCAUAUGGGCUUAUUAAGAAGCACAACAUUAUGGCCAAGGGAGCAAAGGGGGUGUAUUGUGAUAAAGGGUUGUUUGGAGAGAAAUCCAUGGGCUUGAUCCCUUGAAACCCAAACCACUCAUCCAAAGGGAAGGGAUCGGGCUAGGCAAAAGCAAAACGUUAAUGUUAUUCCUCUUCUUCGUGUCCAAAUCCCUUCUGAGAUCAUGUGGAACUCCGCCGCACCGAAAAUCGCCUCCGGCGGUGGUGGAGAUGCUAAUGUGUCAACACCCUUAUCAAAGAGUGUAUAUGACUUUCUCCUUCCCCAAUACCAAUUCAAUUCUUCCUAAAAACCUCUCAAUAACCUGAAUCAGAGUCAAGCCAUAAUGAACCCUAAGUAGGAAAAAUUGAAAUUAAACAAAGAACAAAGCGUGUUUCGCAUAAUAAGUUUAGGGCUUAUGUUCUAUGGAGCACAAACAAAAGGACGGUGAAGAGAAAGCGUGUCCAAUCAUCAAGAUAUGGAGAUCGGGGUUCUUACCGGUCGGAGUAGCUUCAGCAUCUCUUUAAGGUUGGUGAUGACAACAAAAUUGCAAAUAUCUUCUUCUUCUGGUGUUGUGAACAAUGUCAUUAUGUAAUGGAUAAUACUUCUAACCAGAUACAUUCUCCAAUGACUCUUUCUCUACCUCUAUAAAAGGAAGCUGGAGGUUUGAAAGAAGGUGUACAACAACAACGCAAUAGAAUAUCUUGAGCAUAACUCUGAGCUUUCAUUUGUAACUGUUAUUGCAUAAGAUCUUAAGAUUUUUUAUCCUUGUGUAUCUUAGAAAUCUUAUGAGGUUAAGAACCUUUGUGGUUGUUGCACAACUAUUAUGCUUAUGAUUGUGUAUCUAAGUAUAAAGGUUAUCUUUUCUACUAAAGUGUUUGUUUAAAGUAGAUGAUGUCUCUUGCCUGCGUGCUUGAGUAGUGAAGUCUCUAGACUGUGUACUUGAGCAGUGAAGUCUCUUUCUAGGUUGAUUGAGCAAAAGUCUCUUGCAAGGUUGCUUGAGGAGAAGUCCCUUUCUAGGUUAAUUGAGCAAGUGAAGUAUCUUGCAAGUGUGCUUGAGUAAACUGUAAUCUAUUGAUUAUAGUGAAGAGGUCGUGUUGAAACAAGGGGUCUGAACUACUCUCAAUUGAGGAGAGGAACCAGGAUACUCUUUGUGUGUUGCUUGAUUUUACUUCUGAUCAUUAUUAUUUCCGUUGUUGUUACUAUUUAUGAUAUCAGACUCUGAACGUCGUUCACAUUCUGAAGUUGCAUUAUCAGAAGGGAAAGAUUUUUUGACAUACACAAUU